rnacentral:rRNA from 1 species
GGACCCGCACAAGUAGUGGAGCAUGUGGUUUAAUUCGAAGAUACGCGCAGAACCUUACCAACACUUGACAUGUUCGUCGCGACUCUAAGAGAUUAGAGUUUUCGGUUCGGCCGGACGAAACACAGGUGCUGCAUGGCUGUCGUCAGCUCGUGUCGUGAGAUGUUGGGUUAAGUCCCGCAACGAGCGCAACCCUCACUUUUAGUUGACUUCGGUGACUCUAAGUAGACUGCCCACUAGGAUAGUGGGAGAAAGGUAAGGAUGACGUCAAGUCCUCAUGGCCCUUAUGAACUGGGCUACACACGUGUUACAAUGGUAAGAACAAUGAGAAGCGAUCUUGUAAAAGUGAGCAAACCUAUAAAUCUUAUCUUAGUUCGGAUUGUGGGCUGCAACUCGCCCACAUGAAGUUGGAAUC